GACGAACGCUGGCGGCGUGCCUAAUACAUGCAAGUCGAACGCUUCUUUCCUCCCGAGUGCUUGCACUCGAUUGGAAAGAGGAGUGGCGGACGGGUGAGUAACACGUGGGUAACCUACCCAUCAGAGGGGGAUGACACUUGGAAACAGGUGCUAAUACCGCAUAACAGUUUAUGCCGCAUGGCAUAAGAGUGAAAGGCGCCUUCGGGUGUCGCUGAUGGAUGGACCCGCGGUGCAUUAGCUAGUUGGUGAGGUAACGGCUCACCAAGGCCACGAUGCAUCGCCGCACUGAGAGGGGGAUCGGCCACACUGGGACUGAGACACGGCCCAGACUCCUACGGGAGGCAGCAGUAGGGAAUCUUCGGCAAUGGACGAAAGUCUGACCGAGCAACGCCGCGUGAGUGAAGAAGGUUUUCGGAUCGUAAAACUCUGUUGUUAGAGAGGAACAAGGACGUUAGUAACUGAACGUCCCCUGACGGUAUCUAACCAGAAAGCCACGGCUAACUACGUGCCAGCCGCCGCCGUAACAC
rnacentral:rRNA from 1 species